GAGGAGUAUAACAUCUGUCAGGGCAUUACAGAUGGCCUUAUCACUAAGCCAAUUGUAUGUUGGUGUAUUGGAACAUGUGCUACCCUGUUCUCUUCUGAGGUGCAGUUUGGCCAUGCUGGAGCAUGUGCUACACAAGUGUUAGAGACCGCUGUUGCCAAAAAUCAAGCACUGCGAGAAGCAGGUGCAUUGGUGCCCAAUAGCUUUGAUGAAUUGGGCGAUGUCAUCAAGUUUGUGUAUGAUGACCUUGUCACAAAUGGAAUCAUUGUUCCAGAACAAGAGGUUCCUCCUCCUACUGUCCCAAUGGAUUACUCCUGGG